GCAUAUCAAUAAGCGGAGGAAAAGAAACUAACAAGGAUUCCCCUAGUAACGGCGAGUGAACCGGGAAAAGCUCAAAUUUGAAAUCUGGCUGUCUUCGAUAGUCCGAGUUGUAAUCUAUAGAAGCGUUUUCCGUGCUGAACUGUGUCUAAGUCCCUUGGAACAGGGUAUCAAAGAGGGUGAUAAUCCCGUACUUGACACAACAAUCAGUGCUCUGUGAUACGUUCUCUACGAGUCGAGUUGUUUGGGAAUGCAGCUCAAAAUGGGUGGUAAAUUCCAUCUAAAGCUAAAUAUUGGCGAGAGACCGAUAGCGAACAAGUACCGUGAGGGAAAGAUGAAAAGCACUUUGGAAAGAGAGUUAAACAGUACGUGAAAUUGUUGAAAGGGAAACGAUUGAAGUCAGUCGUGUUCAUUGGAUUCAGCUAGUUCUUCUAGUCUACUUCCUUUGAACGGGUCAACAUCAGUUUUGUCCGGUGGAUAAAGGAUUUAGGAAUGUAACUCCCUCGGGAGUGUUAUAGCCUAGGUUCACAUACACUGGGUGAGACUGAGGACUGCAGCUCGCCUUUUGGCCGGGGUUCGCCCACGUUCGAGCUUAGGAUGUUGACAUAAUGGCUUUAAACGAC
rnacentral:rRNA from 1 species